rnacentral:rRNA from 1 species
AACGUAGGUCACAAGCGUUGUCCGGAAUUACUGGGUGUAAAGGGAGCGCAGGCGGGAAGACAAGUUGGAAGUGAAAUCCAUGGGCUCAACCCAUGAACUGCUUUCAAAACUGUUUUUCUUGAGUAGUGCAGAGGUAGGCGGAAUUCCCGGUGUAGCGGUGGAAUGCGUAGAUAUCGGGAGGAACACCAGUGGCGAAGGCGCCCUACUGGGCACCAACUGACGCUGAGGCUCGAAAGUGUGGGUAGCAAACAGG